rnacentral:rRNA from 1 species
UGCCAGACUCCUACGGGAGGCAGCAGUGAGGAAUAUUGGUCAAUGGUCGGGAGACUGAACCAGCCAAGCCGCGUGAGGGAUGAAGGUACAGAGUAUCGUAAACCUCUCUUGUCAGGGAACAAAGGCGGGGACGCGUCCCCGGAUGAGUGUACCUGAAGAAAAAGCAUCGGCUAACUCCGUGCCAGCAGCCGCGGUAAUACGGAGGAUGCGAGCGUUAUCCGGAUUUAUUGGGUUUAAAGGGUGCGUAGGCGGGCUGUUAAGACGGGGGUCAAAUGUCGGGGCUCAACCCCGGCCUGCCGUUGAAACUGGCGGCCUCGAGUGGGCGAGAAGUAUGCGGAAUGCGUGGUGUAGCGGUGAAAUGCAUAGAUAUCACGCAGAACUCCGAUUGCGAAGGCAGCAUACCGGCGCCCGACUGACGCUGAGGCACGAAAGCGUGGGUAUCGAACAGGAUUAGAUACCCUCGUAUUG